AGAGUUUGAUCAUGGCUCAGAAUCAACGCUGGCGGCGUGCCUAACACAUGCAAGUCGAACGCGAAAGGGGCUUCGGCUCUGAGUAGAGUGGCGAACGGGUGAGUAACACGUGGGUGACCUACCUUCGAAUGGGGGAUAACGUCCCGAAAGGGACGCUAAUACCGCAUAACAUCCUGUCUUUGAAGAGACGGAGAUCAAAGCUGGGGAUCGCAAGACCUAGCGUUUGAAGAGGGGCCCGCGUCUGAUUAGCUAGUUGGUGAGGUAACGGCUCACCAAGGCGACGAUCAGUAUCCGGCCUGAGAGGGCGGACGGACACACUGGGACUGAGACACGGCCCAGACUCCUACGGGAGGCAGCAGUGGGGAAUUGUUCGCAAUGGGCGCAAGCCUGACGACGCAACGCCGCGUGGAGGAUGAAGGUCUUCGGAUUGUAAACUCCUGUUGCCCGGGACGAAACGCUUCGACCUAACACGUCGAAGCUUGACGGUACCGGGUGAGGAAGCCCCGGCUAACUCUGUGCCAGCAGCCGCGGUA
rnacentral:rRNA from 1 species